rnacentral:sRNA from 1 species
AAUAAAUAAAUAUUUAAACUCUAAGGCUUUAGGCAUGAAGUAAGGCCACACUAGAAAGCACUGGCUUUGGUCUCCUCUCCUAAUCAGUGACUCACUGGUUCAAGUCCAUGGUCCUCUGACAUUACUACACUCUAUCAAUAAAUGUUUAAUAUACUCUCAAGAUAGACACAAAGAAACAUGCACGUAGCUAUAUACAUGGGUAUCCACGCAUGUGUAUGAAACACAUCGAUGGAACACAUACAAGUCGUUCUAAUCUGCUCUGAAUACCAAGCAGAAUUCAACCCUUGGUUUUUUUUUUCUCCUGCAGGCCAUAAUAUCUGGAUUCCAGUCUGGAGACUAAAUGUGCCUCUGGGUCCAUCAGAACCUUGGAGCAGAAAACUCAAAGCCACGGAUGAAAAAAGAACCUGGAUGCCUCCCUCUCAUAUAAACCAGGAAUAAUGGUCUUGUUUAUUCUUCCACUAGGUAAACGGGUAUCGUCAAACAGAAUGUGCCAGGAGCCAUGCCAAGUGCAGCACGGGCUAGCAGUAUCAGCCACCAGCCAUGGCUCUCUGUGUGAAAGGACGAGUGUAAGCUACCUGGGAUGCAGCCACACUGGCCAGUGUCAGCAGUUUCAGACCAGGGGCUAGGAAGGGAAUGUUGGACUUUUUCCAGAAGAAUCUAGAACUCUCUGGAAGAGAUGACACGGGCCUAGGAAUAUGAGUGGGUUUUGGUCUUGUGGCUGGAAAAGAAAGACUUCUGGUCAAGGUAGAGGGACACUAUCAUCUGGAUCCUGCAUCUAUCUGGAGAUCCCAUAUUCUGUGGCUGGGCAGGAGAGCACAAAUAAGAAGCAAACAAAAGAGGCUAGGGAAGGCUCUCUGCACCAACACUCUGAAAACUAGAGGUCCAGGCUGCUACUCUGACAGCCUCUCAUCCAGCUCACCAAUGGAGGCCUCAGGAGUUGCCCAACAAAACAAGCAUCUACCAGGUACCAAGUGGUCGACAGCUGAGAACUGACGCAGGGAAAGCGAACGAACAUCUACAGGACGCUGCUCUAUACACAGUAUUAAUUGUGCUCCAGCUAUAGGGGCACAGUGCUGGCCUCCUCUACAUGAAGUCUCUCCUUGACCAGCUCUGAUGAUAAAUGAGUCUGACAAGGAGGUCUCCUCUUCGAUUCAUAUAAUUAAUUAUCCCUUGAGAAGUGGCCAAUUUAGGAGCGCGUUUUUCUUUUUGAAGA